GUUAAGUUGCAGGGUAUAGACCCGAAACCCGGUGAUCUAGCCAUGGGCAGGUUGAAGGUUGGGUAACACUAACUGGAGGACCGAACCGACUAAUGUUGAAAAAUUAGCGGAUGACCUGUGGCUGGGGGUGAAAGGCCAAUCAAACCGGGAGAUAGCUGGUUCUCCCCGAAAGCUAUUUAGGUAGCGCCUCGUGAAUUCAUCUCCGGGGGUAGAGCACUGUUUCGGCUAGGGGGCCAUCCCGGCUUACCAACCCGAUGCAAACUGCGAAUACCGGAGAAUGUUAUCACGGGAGACACACGGCGGGUGCUAACGUCCGUCGUGAAGAGGGAAACAACCCAGACCGCCAGCUAAGGUCCCAAAGUCAUGGUUAAGUGGGAAACGAUGUGGGAAGGCCCAGACAGCCAGGAUGUUGGCUUAGAAGCAGCCAUCAUUUAAAGAAAGCGUAAUAGCUCACUGGUCGAGUCGGCCUGCGCGGAAGAUGUAACGGGGCUAAACCAUGCACCGAAGCUGCGGCAGCGACACUGUGUGUUGUUGGGUAGGGGAGCGUUCUGUAAGCCUGUGAAGGUGUGUCGUGAGGCAUGCUGGAGGUAUCAGAAGUGCGAAUG
rnacentral:rRNA from 1 species